UAGAAUUGACCUUUCAAGUCAUUCUGGCUCUGCCAAACCCUUGAGAACUAUACAAAAUAAAACUUACCGUGUUGCCUCGGCGGGCCAGCGACCCCAUGGGGUUGCGCCGUCCGGAGCGCCGGCGAGCACAAACGCACUAUACUGCUCAGCGCGCCCUUCUGAACAUCAAACCUUUAACGAGUAA
rnacentral:misc_RNA from 1 species